rnacentral:rRNA from 1 species
AUUGAACGCUGGCGGCAUGCCUUACACAUGCAAGUCGAACGGCAGCGGACCUUCGGGUGCCGGCGAGUGGCGAACGGGUGAGUAAUAUAUCGGAACGUACCUUUCAGUGGGGGAUAACGUAGCGAAAGUUACGCUAAUACCGCAUAUUCUGUGAGCAGGAAAGCAGGGGAUCGCAAGACCUUGCGCUGAUUGAGCGGCCGAUAUCAGAUUAGCUAGUUGGUGAGGUAAAGGCUCACCAAGGCGACGAUCUGUAGCGGGUCUGAGAGGAUGAUCCGCCACACUGGAACUGAGACACGGUCCAGACUCCUACGGGAGGCAGCAGUGGGGAAUUUUGGACAAUGGGCGCAAGCCUGAUCCAGCCAUGCCGCGUGAGUGAAGAAGGCCUUCGG